AAAUUACUCCCUCAGUCCGAAAAUACUUGUUGAAAAAAUGCAUAAAAAUAAAUGCAUCUAGAACUAAAAUACAUCUAGAUACAUCCAUUCCUCCGACUAAUAUUUCCGAACGGAGGGAGUAUUUA
rfam:Triticum aestivum genome assembly, contig: Triticum_aestivum_CS42_TGACv1_scaffold_592869_7BS